rnacentral:rRNA from 1 species
AGAGUUUGAUCCUGGCUCAGGAUGAACGCUAGCUACAGGCUUAACACAUGCAAGUCGAGGGGCAGCAUCAUCAAAGCUUGCUUUGAUGGAUGGCGACCGGCGCACGGGUGAGUAACACGUAUCCAACCUGCCGACAACACUGGGAUAGCCUUUCGAAAGAAAGAUUAAUACCGGAUGGCAUAAUUAUUCCGCAUGGGAUAAUUAUUAAAGAAUUUCGGUUGUCGAUGGGGAUGCGUUCCAUUAGGCAGUUGGCGGGGUAACGGCCCACCAAACCAACGAUGGAUAGGGGUUCUGAGAGGAAGGUCCCCCACAUUGGAACUGAGACACGGUCCAAACUCCUACGGGAGGCAGCAGUGAGGAAUAUUGGUCAAUGGACGAGAGUCUGAACCAGCCAAGUAGCGUGAAGGAUGACUGCCCUAUGGGUUGUAAACUUCUUUUAUACGGGAAUAAAGUGAGCCACGUGUGGCUUUUUGUAUGUACCGUAUGAAUAAGGAUCGGCUAACUCCGUGCCAGCAGCCGCGGUAAUACGGAGGAUCCGAGCGUUAUCCGGAUUUAUUGGGUUUAAAGGGAGCGUAGGCGGGUUGUUAAGUCAGUUGUGAAAGUUUGCGGCUCAACCGUAAAAUUGCAGUUGAUACUGGCGACCUUGAGUGCAACAGAGGUAGGCGGAAUUCGUGGUGUAGCGGUGAAAUGCUUAGAUAUCACGAAGAACUCCGAUUGCGAAGGCAGCUUACUGGAUUGUAACUGACGCUGAUGCUCGAAAGUGUGGGUAUCAAACAGGAUUAGAUACCCUGGUAGUCCACACAGUAAACGAUGAAUACUCGCUGUUUGCGAUAUACAGUAAGCGGCCAAGCGAAAGCGUUAAGUAUUCCACCUGGGGAGUACGCCGGCAACGGUGAAACUCAAAGGAAUUGACGGGGGCCCGCACAAGCGGAGGAACAUGUGGUUUAA